CCACGUGUCAUUGCCUUCAGUCAUCGUCCCGCAAACAGCAGCACAACUACUCGCAGAAGUGGUCUUCCCUCGCAUCAUCCGCCCUCCGCCGGCCCACCACCUCCGCCGCCUCGCCCCUGCCGCGUCCCCGUUCCCGGCCCCGCAAACCCUAACCCUAAUGGCCGCCUACGCCGGGACCACCAGCUCCUUCCCGUACCUACUCGCCGGUUCCUCCCCGGCGGCCCGCCGCCACGGGGCCGCACACCGGAUCCACGCCUCGGCAUCAGGGACGACAGGGGAGGGCAAUGGACGUGGUGUCAGAGGCGGAGCUGCGGGAGAAGGGGUUCAUGGGGAUGCGGAAGACGAAGCUGGUGUGCACGGUGGGGCCCGCCUGCGUGGAGGCGCUGCCGGCGCUGGCGCGCGGCGGGAUGGGCGGGGCGCGGGUCAACCUCUGCCACGGCGGCCGCGAGUGGCACCGGGCCGCCAUGCGCGCCGUGCGGAGGCUCAACGACGAGGAAGGCUUCUGCGUCUCGCUCAUGGUCGACACCGAGGGCUCCCAGCUACUCGUCGCGGACCACGGAGGCGCCACCUCCGUCAAGGCCGAGGAUGACUCAGAGUGGCUAUUUACAAACAAAAAGACUGAUGAAGCCCAUCCAUUCACAAUGCAUGUCAAUUUUGAGAAGUUUUCUGAUGGCAUUCUAGUUGGUGAUGAGCUUGUGAUAGACGGUGGAAUGGCAACAUUUGAAGUUACUGAGAAAAUUGGGAAUGAUUUGCGCUGUAAGUGCACAGACCCAGGUUUGCUUCUUCCUCUAGCCAAGUUGUCAUUCUGGAGGAAUGGAAAAUUAGUUGAAAGGAACUUUGGCCUUCCUACAUUGUCGGCAAAGGAUUGGGCAGAUAUCGAAUUUGGGAUAGCAGAAGGAGUUGAUUGCAUUGCUCUAUCUUUUGUAAAGGAUGAUAAUGAUAUAAAGCAGCUGAAGGCUUACCUCUCCAGAAGAUCAUUAGAGCACAUCAAAAUUUUUGCGAAGAUCGAGAGUCUGGAGUCUCUCAAGAACCUGAAAGACAUCAUAAAGGCAUCCGAUGGAGUUAUGGUAGCACGUGGGGAUCUUGGAGUUCAGAUUCCUCUGGAACAAAUUCCAGCCAUCCAACAGUCAAUUGUUACUUUAUGUAGACACGUGAACAAGCCUGUGAUAGUUGCUUCACAGCUUCUCGAAUCAAUGGUUGAAUAUCCAACGCCAACUCGAGCGGAGGUGGCUGAUGUUUCUGAAGCAGUGCGGCAAUAUGCAGAUGCUGUGAUGCUAUCAGCAGAGUCAGCUAUAGGUGCAUAUCCCCAGAAAGCUCUAUCUGUCCUCCGUGUGGCCAGUGAGAGGAUGGAAUCAUGGAGCCGUGAGGAGAGCAUGCAGAAACUUCUUCCACAACAUCAGCUUGCAGUCGCUCUGCCUGACCGGAUCUCAGAGCAAAUUUGCAACUGUGCUGUAGAAAUGGCAAACAACCUUGCUGUGGAUGCCAUAUUUGUUUACACAAAGCAUGGUCACAUGGCAUCACUUUUAUCACGCAACCGGCCAAACCCUCCCAUAUUUGCGUUCACUGAUGAUGUUCAUUCAAGAAAGAGCAUGAACCUCUACUGGGGAGUGAUACCGUUGCAUCUUCCAUUAUCUAACAGCAUGGAGGAUAACUUUAAGAAAACCAUCAGCCUGAUGAAGUCAAAGGGUUCUGUGAAACCUGGAGACACAAUCUUGCUGGUCUCAGACUCUGAUCUAAACCGACCUUGUGCUGCCACAUCUGUGUUCCAAUCCAUUCAAGUUCGGUUAGUGGACUAGGUUAGGCUUAGGCAUAAUGGGACGAAUAAAUGUUCCUGGAUGUUGAUGGCUCUUUACAAGUACAGGGGUUGCUGCAAAUGUAUUACAGUACCAGACUGCAUACCUUGUACAUUUGUCCAUGGAUUACGUGCGUUCAUUCUCCAAUAAGGAGCUAUUUGACUUGUAGCAUUUUAGUACAUUUGUACACGAAAAUGAUUAUUACCUUUCAGUAUUGAAGACUCUUGUUAAAGGAUAAUUGAAAGGGGUAGUAAUGUUCAA